rnacentral:lncRNA from 1 species
CUCAGUGUCUACCUAAGAGCCCAUAUUCAUUUACAAAUGCAGCAUCUUUUGACAAGGUAAAGCAGCAGCCUAAGGACGGUUUUAGCAUCUCUGCCUACCACAGGACUGUGGUAGAAAGAAGUUGUUGAGGUCACAUGAGAAGGUGUGUCUUAUUUCCUCUGGUUAACAGAAACAGCAAAGUACCCCCUGGGGACUGUGUUUAGUUGAAACAUUUCCUUUGUUGUAAACAACAAGUUGUGCCCUAGGAAAGGACCUGCUGAAAGGAUCUGGAGGAUGAAAUGUGCUUCACUCAGCUUGGCUUCUCUCCUGGUGACGCAGACCAUCAGCCAGUGCAACUGAAGCAUCAGUACAAUAAGGAGAAGAGAGACAGAAGAGGACAGGAAAAUGGCUGGUGUGCCACAGCAACAGCUGUUGGGGAACACAGAAGGGCAGACAACCCUCCUAGAGGCCACAGGCUUUAAUACUCCUAUCAGCUUUUCAAAUGCUUAAUAAUGUUUUUUUUUUGGUUUAACACAAUGUUUAKCUCAGUGUUUAACAAAGUUUUCACUGUUAUUUAUUACAAAAAUCACUGAAAAUGUCUUUCCAUUCCACAGAAAGUGCGAUUAAUUCUGCACAUAAAAUAAGGAGCACAGUUGCUUAUGGAUCUGGAAGGAGACAGACACCUCCAGAAGCUCAGUCAGAUGGGAAGAAUUGUCCUCUGGAAACGCCGAUUACCUUCCACAGGCUACAAAGAGAUGUUAGGGCUACUAUGCUCAAAAUUUCAGCAACUUGGAACUAUACCUACAAGGGAAAAACUCAUGUCUGUCUUUCUGUGGGAAUGUCCUAACAAAGUCUUGGAAAACAGACUUGACAUUUCUAGGACACAUCCUUCUACUAAUCUGUAAGAAUGAAUUCUACAUAUUCAGUAAAGGUUCAAUUAAGUAAUUUUAAUUAUUCCAUCAAAUAGUUCCUCAAGACAGUAAAAGAGGUUCUUGACUUUUUUGUAAACUUAUCAUGAAACUGGAGCAUUCAAUAUUUCUCAAAUGAUUACCUACCAUAUAAAAUAUUUGUUACUUCACAUUAUUACCAUACAGACUGUAUUUGCCCCCUACUUUGCCUAAAUCUUAUCUGGACAUCUACCUAGCCAAGAACAUAUCACCAGACAGUUGAAAUACUCUUCUAUGGAGAGUAUUAUUUUCAUGUAAGACUCUUCUGCUUCAGUGAUGACUACCUGCCAAUUCUAAAGAACCUUAAAUCCAGUCAUCUUUACCAAAGGACUGUUUUCUUAGAAAAAAAUAUCAAAAUGAGCUGUUUGAAGUGGUGUAACUGUCUUACAGUUCAAAACCUUGAACACAACACUAGUAUUCCUAAUGGUGGUCUCAAGAGAAAAUUGGUCCAGUAAUAGGCCAGGUUAAGAAACCAGCUCUGAAGCACAACGCUUCCCAUGUGAUGUCUCAGACAUUAAAACCAUUUCAAGCAGAAAUGCCUUCCAGAAUUGAGACAUGUAACUGAUUGCUACUUUCUAGCAAGGAGAAGAGAGAGGCAGGAGGGAGAGAGGGGAGGGAGAGAGGGGAGGGAGAGAGGGGAGGGAGAGAGGGGAGAGAAGAACGAAUAUGACUGAAUAUAUGGAGAGGGGUGGCAGAAACUGACUUUCAAAGUAAUGAAGCAAUAUUUGAUGCAUUUGGCCCAUUGUAUAAAAUAUCAUAUUUGGGGAAACAAUAUGCAGAAGCCUUAGAUUCUGAUGGUUCUUCAGAAGAAGGCAUUGACUGGACUGUGGAAAUAUGCUGGCAUAGUUUGUAUUUGUUGCCUUGAGAAGGCUGAACUUUUUUAGUUGGUCACAGAAAGUUUGCUUCUGACAUGUCCUAGGAAAAAGUCUUUCAAAGGUUCUCUUCUUAUGCAGCAUUAUUUAUAAUGAUUCUGAUACAGAUUCCAAUAUGCGAUAGUAUGACAGCCACAACAUAGUUUUUAAACUAUGCAUGCUAAGAAGAAAAACCUACUUAUAAAUAAUAACAAAACCUUUAUUUUCUGCAUCAUGUUUUAGAACCAGACAUUUCUUCUAUAUCAUGCUCAUUGAUUCCACAGUAUGUGAAGUAUGCAGAUUUUGUGUAUUUAUUUUCAGUGAAAAAUUUUGGACUGGAGCCAGAAAACAACAGCUGGCUCUGGUCCAGAAUUAUCUGCUGUAACAUGAGGUGGGGUCACUGGAAAAUUAAUGGUCAGUGAAACAUCUGCUUUGAAAAGGUUCUUGUAUACAAGAUAAGGAAAAGACAAGACAGAUCACCCUAUAUAUAAAAUAACUCAACAGAUUAAAAAAGGGCAAAAUGGGAACUUGAAAAGACAUCUCUCACAUACCAGGUGACUGCCUUCACUAAUACUGUAAGAAUACAGUUUCUUUUUUCACAAGAAAAGUUCUGCAGUCUUCUUAUGUAGAAUAAGAAGUCUGUAUUCCUGAAAAGUUUCACAGAGCAGGAAAUUUAUUUCCUACCCUCUCAUGACAGUGGUGUGGAAACGACAGGGCAAACCAGCCAACCAGUACUCCUCCAAUAUUGCAUUCCAGGAAAGAAAAAACACUGUCUCUCCAAGAAAAUAUCUGAAUGAAAUGGCUAAGAAGGGUGGUAAUCAGUAAUGUCAGAAAAAGCAGAGACUUAUGAAAUAUUUGAUACACUUAACAUAAUCUUUUACACUAAAGCUUUCUCCUUAAUUAUCUUAUGAUUUUAAUGAUCCCUGCAUAACUUUUAUGCAUAGGCAAAGAUUUAUAAAAACACUGUAUUUGAACUUACAGAAAUUAAAUUAAUUCAUAGAAUUCCCUAUUAUUAAGAAGGGGAGCCCUGCUAAUUAUAUAUCAAUAACAUCUAACCUUUCAAAAAUACUUUACCGAAAGCUAUACAAACAAGAAUAAUUUGAUAAGAACAGGAACCAUUUAGCUGCACUGGGAGGAGUCCAAUAAAGAAACGGAAUGAAAUAAAUCCUGGAAUUUA